UUGAAGAAAGUGAAGCCACAAAACACA
rnacentral:piRNA from 1 species